GAUGAACGCUGGCGGCGUGCCUAAUACAUGCAAGUCGAGCGAACGGACGAGAAGCUUGCUUCUCUGAUGUUAGCGGCGGACGGGUGAGUAACACGUGGAUAACCUACCUAUAAGACUGGGAUAACUUCGGGAAACCGGGGCUAAUACCGGAUAAUAUUUUGAACCGCAUGGUUCAAAAGUGAAAGACGGUCUUGCUGUCACUUAUAGAUGGAUCCGCGCUGCAUUAGCUAGUUGGUAAGGUAACGGCUUACCAAGGCAACGAUGCAUAGCCGACCUGAGAGGGUGAUCGGCCACACUGGAACUGAGACACGGUCCAGACUCCUACGGGAGGCAGCAGUAGGGAAUCUUCCGCAAUGGGCGAAAGCCUGACGGAGCAACGCCGCGUGAGUGAUGAAGGUCUUCGGAUCGUAAAACUCUGUUAUUAGGGAAGAACAUAUGUGUAAGUAACUGUGCACAUCUUGACGGUACCUAAUCAGAAAGCCACGGCUAACUACGUGCCAGCAGCCGCGGUAAUACGUAGGUGGCAAGCGUUAUCCGGAAUUAUUGGGCGUAAAGCGCGCGUAGGCGGUUUUUUAAGUCUGAUGUGAAAGCCCACGGCUCAACCGUGGAGGGUCAUUGGAAACUGGAAAACUUGAGUGCAGAAGAGGAAAGUGGAAUUCCAUGUGUAGCGGUGAAAUGCGCAGAGAUAUGGAGGAACACCAGUGGCGAAGGCGACUUUCUGGUCUGUAACUGACGCUGAUGUGCGAAAGCGUGGGGAUCAAACAGGAUUAGAUACCCUGGUAGUCCACGCCGUAAACGAUGAGUGCUAAGUGUUAGGGGGUUUCCUCCCCUUAGUGCUGCAGCUAACGCAUUAAGCACUCCGCCUGGGGAGUACGACCGCAAGGUUGAAACUCAAAGGAAUUGACGGGGACCCGCACAAGCGGUGGAGCAUGUGGUUUAAUUCGAAGCAACGCGAAGAACCUUACCAAAUCUUGACAUCCUUUGACAACUCUAGAGAUAGAGCCUUCCCCUUCGGGGGACAAAGUGACAGGUGGUGCAUGGUUGUCGUCAGCUCGUGUCGUGAGAUGUUGGGUUAAGUCCCGCAACGAGCGCAACCCUUAAGCUUAGUUGCCAUCAUUAAGUUGGGCACUCUAAGUUGACUGCCGGUGACAAACCGGAGGAAGGUGGGGAUGACGUCAAAUCAUCAUGCCCCUUAUGAUUUGGGCUACACACGUGCUACAAUGGACAAUACAAAGGGCAGCGAAACCGCGAGGUCAAGCAAAUCCCAUAAAGUUGUUCUCAGUUCGGAUUGUAGUCUGCAACUCGACUACAUGAAGCUGGAAUCGCUAGUAAUCGUAGAUCAGCAUGCUACGGUGAAUACGUUCCCGGGUCU
rnacentral:rRNA from 1 species